rnacentral:rRNA from 1 species
UACGGAGGGUGCGAGCGUUGUCCGGAAUCAUUGGGCGUAAAGGGCGCGUAGGUGGCCCGGUCAGUCCGUGGUGAAAGCGCGGGGCUCAACCCUGCGUCGGCCAUGGAUACUGCCGCGGCUCGAGCACUGUAGAGGCAGGCGGAAUUCCGGGUGUAGCGGUGGAAUGCGUAGAGAUCCGGAAGAACACCGGUGGCGGAGGCGGCCUGCUGGGCAGUUUAGCUGACACUGAGGCGCGACAGCGUGGGGAGCAAACAGG